rnacentral:rRNA from 1 species
AACCUUUACAAUGCACGCAAGUGUGAUAAGGGGAUCCUAAGUGCUUAUACAUUGUAUAGGCUUUUGUUAAGAGUAAAUAUCUUAGCGAAUAAGUGGUGGGUAAGACUGGUGCCAGCCGCCGCGGUAACACCAGCGCCACGAGUGGCAACCACGUUUAUUGGGCCUAAAGCGUCCGUAGCCGGUUUAGUAAAUCUCUUGUGAAAUCGACAAGCUCAACUUGUCGGCGUGCUUGAGACACUACUAAACUCGAGACCGGGAGGAGUCAGAGGUAUUCCAGGGGGAGCGGUAAAAUGUGAUAAUCCUUGGAGGACCAUCUAUGGCGAAGGCAUCUGACCAGAACGGAUCUGACGGUGAGGGACGAAGGCUAGGGGAGCGAUCCGGAUUAGAUACCCGAGUAGUCCUAGCAGUAAACGCUGUGAGCAAGAUGUUACGCAUCUCUUGAGGAUGCGUAGUGUCGAAAUGAAGAUGUUAAGCUCACCGCCUGGGAAGUACGGUCGCAAGACUGAAACUUUAAGGAAUUGGC